UCCAGGAGGCAGGGAGGCCCAUGUCUCUCUGUCCACUUAGCUUUCUGGGCUGACAGUCUAGAAGACGCAUGCAGGAAUCAAGGUCUCAGACAGGUUUUCUCCCAGCAUCCCGAGAAGCAGCAGACAAACGCCACGGACCUCCCCACCUCCCCACCCUGCCCCCGCCUUCGCCUCGGGGGACUCCCAGGCCAAUCGGCCGCCUUCCUUCCCUCCAGUCCGGGCUGGCAGCCAAGAGGAAAAUUCCUGCCCGAGACUCGGCGUUCAGGCGGCUGGGGCUGACUCAAUAGGGGCCCCACUGUCCCCACUUCACUGUCCUUCUCCCCCACCAUCCCAAGGGUCCCGGCCCCCAC
rnacentral:lncRNA from 1 species